CCCUUAGAUUGUCUGGGCGGCACGCGCGCUACAAUGAUGCAUUCAAAAAGUCUUCUGACCUUAGAAGGUUGGGUAUUCUCCAAAGUGCAUCGUGAUGGGAAUAGUUUAUUGCAAUUUUUAAUCUUGAACGAGGAAUUCCUAGUAAGUACAGGUCAUCAACUUGUGUUGAUUACGUCCCUGCCCUUUGUACACACCGCCCGUCGCUCCUACUGAUUGAGUGUCUCGGUGAAUUCGUUGAUCUUCUGUCGAUUCAGUUCACUGAUCCGACGGCGGAAAGUUGAAUGAACUUCGUCACUUAGAGGAAGGAGAAGUCGUAACA
rnacentral:rRNA from 1 species